rnacentral:lncRNA from 1 species
UGUUAGCCCAAGGGUUCUCCUAAUCAGGUUUUGAUGAUAACAAACCAUGGUUAAGUGACUAAUUGUUUUAAAUUGUUAAGAAUCUCAGGCAUAAUCUCAAAAAUUCAUCAAGGACCAAACGAAUACGGGAUCGAGAUCAUUUGGAAGACUUGUGAUCAUAGGAAAUGAAUGUAAGAUGAUAGCAUGAGUGCACUUAGGAUGUUCAUACCUUUUCAUGCAUCUUAGAAAACUCGGUUUAUUCUUUAAAACUUGAUUUUCUUUAAAACCCGAGUUUUAUCAAAUAUACCUUAGGCAAAUUGAUUCAAAAUUGACAUACAAACUCACCUAAAGAACUUGCCUAAGUAUUGGAAAAGAAAGAAAUCAAAAAGGAUAGGUUUUCAGGGCCAAAAGGCUCAUCCGGUCGAGGCUAUGGCCAACCGGCUCAACCGGUUGGGGAACCGGUCGACCAGUUUCCCUUGUCCGGUCGAGGGAGGCACAAAAACCUUCUCUCUCUCCCAAUAGCUUUCUCUUCCCGAUCGAGCCUCAUCCUUGUCCGGUCGAGGUCCGGUCGAGGCAACGGUAACCUGCCAUGCAUUAAAUGCUCCAACGGCUAGUGAUCCGGUCGACCCUUUGCUCGUCCGGUCGAGGAUACUUUCUGUUGUUUUUGUCUCCCGAGCUUAGAAACCUAUAAAUUGAGAGCUCCUCUUCAUUUAUGACAAAGAGAACAAUUGCAUUCAAAGCCUACCUACCUAUUCUUGGUCUAAAAAGCUCUCAUUUUCUUUCUUAGUGCAUUAAACCAUCACUUGCAUAUUCUUAGUGCACUCUUGUAAUUCAUCCUAGCUUUCUCUUGUACUUGAGCCUUCCUUAAGCUAGGUUGAGAGUUUCAUCCUUGUGUAAACUGAGUGUGAAAGCCUUCAAGUGGUUCAAAUCUUGAAAAGAUUGUGUAAGAGCCCAUUGGAGCCGGAAUCCAAGUGUAAGACGAUUGAAAGCUUGAUUGAAGCUUCAAGUUAGUGGAACCCUCACUCGGUUAAGAGAUUGAGGAGAGUGGACGUAGGCAAAGGAGUGUCGAACCACUAUAAACCCGAGUUUGAAUUCUCUAACUUUAUCCCUUUCCUUUAUUUAUUUUGUGCAUAUAUUAUUGUGUGGAAAAAGUUUUUUAAAAAACCCAAUUCACCCCCCCUUUUGGGUAUUUUCCUUAAUUAUUCAUAGCCUUUGUUUUAUCAAUUGGUAUCAGAGCUAGACCUCUUGCUUAAGACUUAAUCGUCUAAGAGGAAAAUGGCUAUUCCAUCAAGCUCAUCUCAAACUGAAAAUUGUUCAAAACAUAGAGCUCCAUUCUUUACGGGAAUCGACUAUCCCUAUUGGAAAGCUAGAAUGACUUGGUUCUUACAAUCAACUGAUUUAGAUGUAUGAGAUGUCAUUGAAGAUGGCCCAACUUUUCCCACUAAAUUAGUUGAUGGAGUUUUGGUUCCAAAACCCAAGAAAGAAUGGAAUGAGCUUGAUAGAAGAAAUUUUCAAUUAAAUGCUAAAGCCGUUUAUACUUUGCAAUGUGCUAUGGAUAGGAAUGAAUAUAAUAGAAUAUGCCAAUGUAAAUUUGCUAAGGAAAUUUGGAGAUUGCUUGAAAUAACUCAUGAAGGAACUAAUCAAGCGAAAGAGUCAAAAAUUAAUAUACUUGUCCAUAACUAUGAAUUGCUUUCAAUGAAAGAAUUUGAAUCUAUUGUUGAGAUGAUCACUAGGUUCACUGAAAUUGUCAAUGGCCUUGAAGCAUUGGGAAGGGUCAUAAAUGAAUCCGAAAAGGUGAUGAAGAUAUUGAGGUCUCUCCCCUCAAAGUGGCAUACAAAGGUCACCGUUAUUCAAGAAGCUAAAGAUUUGACCAAACUACCUAUGGAAGAACUCUUAGGGUCAUUAAUGACCUAUGAAAUCAGUUUGACAAAGCAACUACAAGAGAGUGAAGACAAAAAGAAGAAAAACAUAGCUCUCAAAUCUACAACCAAGGAAGAAGAAGACGUUGAAGAAGAAAAACCAAGUGAAGAAGAUGAUGAUUUAGCUCUCAUCACAAGAAAGCUCAACAAGUACAUGAGAGGUGAAAGGUUCAGAGGGAAAAAGUUUACCUCUAGAAGAAAUCCCUCAAGAAGGGAAUCCUCAUCACAUGGUGACAAGGAAAAAUGGGAAGAGAAAGGAGAUUUGAUAUGCUUCAAAUGCAAAAAGCCAAGACACAUUAAAUAUGAUUGUCCUCUCUACAAAAUUGAAGCCAAGAGAAGAAUGAAGAAGGCAAUGAUGGCCACUUGGAGUGAGAGUGAAGAAUCUUCCGAGGAAGAAAAGGAAAAAGAAGUGGCAAACAUGUGCUUCAUGGCAAUAGAUGAUCUUGAUGAGGUAAACUCUAACUCUAGUGAUGAAGAUAUGCAUGUUAUUUUUGAAGAACUAUAUGAGGAUUUUGAAAAACUUAGUUUGAAAAAUAACUCUCUUAAAAAGAGAAUUCAAGAACUUGAAAAAGAACUUGAGGAAGUGAAAGAAAAGUUUUCAAUUGAUGAAAUCUCUAAAACUCAUCUUGAAAAAGAGAAUGAGAUUUUAAGAAAUGAAAAUGAAAUUUUGAAAAAGAAAAAUGAAUGCUUGACCUCCUCUCUUUCAAUUUUCUCUUGUGGACAAAAGUCCUUUGAAAUGAUCUUAGCAAGCCAAAAAUGUGUUUUUGACAAACAGGGACUAGGAUUCAAAUCUUCAAAAAACCAAAAGUAUUUUAAAAACUAUUUUGUAAAAGAAUCCUCAAGUGAAUGUCCUUCCACUAUUUGUAACUUUUGUGGAAGAGGAGGGCAUAUUAGUAGUACAUGUCCCUUAAGAAAUGGUGCUCAAAAGAAUUCAAAUGCUAAGGUUAAAAAGGUUUGGAUUGAAAAAUCCAAAGUCACUAACCCUCAAGGACCCAAAAAGACAUGGGUACCUAAACCAACUUGAAUUCUAUUUUGUAGGGCUCAAAGGAGGAUAAGUGGUUCUUGGAUAGUGGGUGCUCAAGACACAUGACCGGGGAUGAAUCCAAGUUUGCCUUCCUUACAAAGAGAAAAGGAGGAUAUGUCACCUUUGGAGACAAUGCAAAAGGAAGAAUCAUUGGUCAAGGUAACAUAGGUAAUGGUACAUCCUCCCUUAUUGAAAGUGUUUUAUUAGUAGAUGGUUUAAAACACAAUCUUUUAAGCAUUAGUCAACUCUGUGACAAAGGUUUUAAAGUAAUUUUUGAAGCAUCUCAUUGUAUCAUCAAGGAUAUUCAAAAUGACAAAACCAUCUUCAUGGGCCAUAGAUGUGAAAAUGUAUAUGCUAUAAAUAUUUCAAAAUAUGAUGGCCAUGAUAGAUGUUUUUCAAGAAUGCAUGAUCAAAGUUGGUUGUGGCAUAGGAGGUUGGGACAUGCUAACAUGGACCUCAUUUCCCAACUCAACAAAGAUGAACUCGUUAGAGGCCUUCCCAAAAUUAAUUUUCAAAAAGACAAAAUUUGUGAAGCUUGUCAAAUGGGAAAGCAAAUCAAAAACUCUUUUAAAAACAAAAAUUUCAUCUCAACAUCUAGACCUCUUGAAUUGCUACACAUGGAUUUAUUUGGUCCUUCUAGGACACCUAGUCUAGGAGGAAAAUCUUAUGCUUAUGUCAUUGUGGAUGAUUUCUCUAGAUACACAUGGGUCUUGUUUUUAAGUCAAAAGAGUGAAGCUUUUUAUGAGUUUUCAAAAUUUUGUAACAAGGUUCAAAAUGAAAAAGGUUUUUCAAUCACUUGCAUAAGAAGUGAUCAUGGGAGAGAAUUUGAGAAUUUCGACUUUGAGGAAUAUUGCAAUAAGCAUGGUAUCAAUCACAAUUUUUCGGCUCCUAGAACUCCUCAACAAAAUGGGGUAGUUGAAAGGAAAAAUAGAACUCUUCAAGAAAUGGCUAGAACCAUGCUAAAUGAAAACAAUUUGCCAAAGUAUUUUUGGGUCGAAGCGGUAAACACUUCUUGCUAUGUUUUAAAUAGAAUAUUGUUGAGGCCCAUUCUUAAGAAAACUCCCUAUGAGCUUUGGAAAAACAAGAAACCCAACAUUAGCUAUUUCAAAGUCUUUGGGUGCAAAUGUUUUAUAUUAAACACCAAAGAUAAUCUUGGAAAAUUUGAUGCAAAAUCCGAUGUUGGAAUUUUUCUUGGCUACUCAACUUCAAGUAAAGCUUUUAGAGUUUUCAACAAAAGAACCAUGGUUGUAGAAGAGUCCAUCCAUGUCAUUUUUUAUGAAUCUAACAAUUCUCUUCAAGAAAGAGAAAGUUUUGAUGAUGAUUUAAGAUUGGAGACCUCCAUGGGAAAAUUGCAAAUUGAGGACAAAAGACAACAAGAAGAAAGUGGAGAGGAUCCCAAGAAAGAAGAAUCACCUUUGGCACUACCUCCUCCUCAACAAGUGCAAGGUGAAUCAAGCCAAGACCUUCCAAAAGAUUGGAAGUUUGUCAUCAACUAUCCACAAGAUCAAAUCAUUGGUAAUCCAUCAAGUGGGAUAAGAACUAGAUCAUCCCUUAGAAAUAUUUGUAAUAAUCUUGCAUUCAUCUCUCAAAUUGAACCUAAAAACAUAAAAGAUGUUAUAGUUGAUGAAAAUUGGAUGAUUGCUAUGCAAGAAGAAUUAAAUCAAUUUGAAAGAAGUGAAGUAUGGGAACUAGUACCAAGACCUUCAAAUCAAAGUGUUAUUGGAACCAAAUGGGUCUUUAGAAACAAAAUGGAUGAAAAUGGCAUCAUAGUAAGAAAUAAGGCAAGAUUGGUAGCCCAAGGGUAUAAUCAAGAAGAAUGAAUAGACUAUGAAGAGACUUUUGCCCCCGUAGCUAGAUUGGAAGCAAUUAGAAUGUUGCUUGCUUUUGCAUGUUUCAAAGACUUUAUUCUAUAUCAAAUGGAUGUGAAAAGUGCUUUUCUAAAUGGCUUCAUAAAUGAGGAAGUAUAUGUUGAACAACCACCCGGUUUUCAAAGCUUUAACUUUCCAAACCAUGUUUUUAAACUUAAAAAGGCACUUUAUGGUUUGAAAAAGGCACCUAGAGCUUGGUAUGAAAGACUAAGUAAAUUUCUUUUGAAAAAGGGUUUUAAAAUGGGAAAAAUUGACACAACUCUUUUCAUAAAAACCAAAGAAAAGGAUAUGCUCCUAGUUCAAAUAUAUGUUGAUGAUAUUAUUUUUGGAGCUACUAAUGACUCUCUUUGUGAAGAUUUCUCUAAGUGUAUGCAUAGUGAGUUUGAAAUGAGCAUGAUGGGAGAACUCAAUUUCUUCCUUGGACUUCAAAUCAAGCAACUAAAGGAAGGAACCUUCAUCAAUCAAGCAAAGUAUAUAAAGGAUCUUCUCAAGAGGUUCAACAUGGAAAAAGCCAAGGUGAUGAAAACUCCAAUGAGCUCAUCCAUCAAGCUUGACAUGGAUGAAAAAGGUAAAUCUAUUGACUCAACUAUGUAUAGAGGCAUGAUAGGAUCUUUGCUUUAUUUGACCGCUAAUAGACCUGAUAUCAUGUAUAGUGUAUGCUUGUGUGCUAGAUUUCAAUCUUGUCCUAAAGAAUCUCACUUAAGUGUCGUUAAAAGAAUUCUUAGAUAUUUGAAAGGGACAAUGAAUAUUGGUUUGUGGUAUCCUAAGGGUGAUAAUUUUGAAUUGAUUGGUUUCUCGGAUGCCGAUUUUGUCGGUUGUAGAGUUGAAAGAAAGAGCACUAGUGGCACUUGUCAUUUCUUAGGACACUCACUUGUCUCAUGGCAUAGUAAGAAGCAAAAUUCGGUAGCUUUGUCAACGGCGGAAGCCGAAUACAUAGCAGCCGGUUUGUGUUGUGCACAAAUCCUUUGGAUGGAACAAACACUUAGUGAUUUUAACUUGUCUUUUGAGCAUGUUCCUAUCAAAUGUGAUAACACUAGUGCCAUAAAUAUUUCAAAAAAUCCCGUGCAACACUCUAGAGCCAAGCAUAUAGAAAUUAGACAUCAUUUUCUUAGAGAUCAUGCACAAAAGGGUGACAUUACACUUGAAUUUGUAAGCACAAAAGAUCAACUUGCCAAUAUUUUUACAAAACCUCUAAGUGAAGAACAAUUUUCCGAUAUUAGAAGACAACUAGGGGUUAUUUCUCUUUGAUCUGAUGUUUGUAUAAUGAAUUAUUGUUGGAAAUGCAUUAUGAUUGCAUAAAUUUCAUCUCAUACGCAUCAUAUAGCAAUCCCUUAGGAAAUAGGUCAAUUUUUGACCAAAAAUCAAAAUUCUCGUGGCAUUGGACAUCAAAAAUUGGGGAUUUCAACUGAAAAGAGCAGGGGGAGGAUCACGAGACAAUAAAAGCAAGAAAAAUUUGGAAAAUGUGACCGUUGACUGUUGACCAGGCGGUCGACCGGUUGGGGAACCAGUCGAUCGGUUCGUCAGGGCUGGGAAUUUAAAAGGCCCCCGCGCGUUAGUUUUUUCCACUAUUCUCUGCCAUUCCUUGAAGACUCUUUAUCUUCCCGCCUUCAGAGACCAGUUUGGGCUAUUCCUUGGACCGAUUUCAAGCUUUGGAGUGAUUUUUUACGAGAUUUUGAGGCUAGAGUUUCAUCUCUGGACGGAUUUGGACUUCGGAUUUGGACGGGUUCCUCUCUGUUUGCGCACCAUCUUCUGGUUUUGCUCCUUUCCCGCGCGCCUAGGGCUUAUUCGGGUCAGUCUUCUCUCUUUGCAUGCUCGCUUCAGUUCUCGGAGCUUAUCUCCAUUUGUGGAUUUUGGAUGGCUCCUCAAAAGGAGACGGGUACUUCCAGGGCUCAGGGCAAGCGUCCUGCUGAGCCCUCUCAGCAGCCUGAGCAGACCGAGGCUUGCCGAAAGGCGAGGUACUACACCGCCCUCUUCGGCUCAGUUGAGGAUUAUCAGAGGUACAAGACGCAUUUCGCCAAGAGAAAGGUGGUUCCAGGUAGAAACAUCAAUUUCUCCCAACUUCAGAGCCUCGGGUUUGAGGGACUCUUCAUCAGGAUGGGAUGGCUGCCAGUUGUGACGGUUUCUAAGCCUAUCUUUUCGACCUUAGUGCGUGCAUUCUACUCCAGGAUGACCUAUGGACUUGGAGGACCGAUUAGGACUACUGUCCGAGGAGUUGAGAUUGAGCUGAGUCCGGAGAGCAUCUGCCGCAUCCUUGACAUUCCCCCCGUUGGUCUCAGAGUAUAUGAGGCCAAGGCAUGGCCUACUAUCCCAGGGUUCUAGCCUAGAGAGGCCAUUCAGAGGCUGUGCGAACUUGCAGAUGCCCAUGGGAUGGGCAAACCUUCAGCACAUAGCCUGACCGUGCCUAGCCGAGUCCUUCACCAUAUGAUAUGCUCCAUCCUAUUACCACGGGGAGGACAUCGGGACGAGGUCUCCUACUAUGAGGCCUUUCUUGUCGACUCACUUCUCACCGGGAGGCGGAUACACGUAGGAUAUGUGAUGAUGAGGCAUAUGAUGUCCUGCUGUGAGAGCACCACACGAGUGCUUCCCUACGGCCGCUUCCUCACUCGUGUCUUCAAGGAUGCUGGGGUAGACUUGAGUAGAGAGACAGAGUUUGAGGCACCCAGCAUCUAUGACAUGUAUGACGAGCAUUCUUUGGGGCGCAUGAAGCUUGAGAAGGCCCCCGAUGGCUCCUGGGUUAAGAAGGCAGAGCGACAGGCCCGGGGACAUGAUCAGAUACACCCCGGAGUAGAGGAGGAGGAUGAGAUCAGAGAGAUGGAGGAUGGGUUGGACCCUCAGAGGGACCUUGAGCAGAAAGGGCCCGAGCUUGACAUUCCGCCUCCACAUCAGUCAGAGGGCAUUCAUGUUGAGGCUACCUUCUCAAAGCUUAUGAUGACUGAGCCAUCUUUCACAGCAGGCCCUUCAUCUCAGCCAUCGUUCACCGAGCUACCUUCUCAGGCUCCUCAUACUCUUGAUCAUCCACCUUGGAUGGACUUGUCGGCACAGAUUAGCUCUCUCGGGACUCGUAUGGAGGAGUUAGCAGUAGUUCAUGAUACUCGCUUUUAUUCCAUGGAGGAUCGCAUCGAUCAGUAUCAGGUCGGCUUCACCUCUCAGUUUGAGCAUCUCGUACAGAGGAUUGAGCGUCUUGAGAGCCGCCAGGAGAGUCAGCACGAGGAGAUGAUGGCUUACCUCCGUUCUGUGUUUCCACCACCACUUCCUCAGCCUUGACUGUGUUUGGGAUUCCCCUUCGUUUCUUUUUUAUGUUGCCAAAGGGGGAGAUAUGUUAGGAUAGGGACCUUAGGAGACUUUUUCAUUUCCAUGCAUAUCAUACUCAUGCUUUCAUGUACUCUUGCUCUUGCUUAUAUAUGAUAUGACACUCUUAUUGAUUUACAUUGUCUUCUCGCUUUAAAUUUCCUAAAUUUUGUGUUGAUUAUCCCAUGGUUGGUUUGAGGGGGAGAUUUCUCUGUCUCCUAGAUAACCAAGGUUUGUCAUCAUCAAAAAGGGGGAGAUUGUUAGCCCAAGGGUUCUCCUAAUCAGGUUUUGAUGAUAACAAACCAUGGUUAAGUGACUAAUUGUUUUAAAUUGUUAAGAAUCUCAGGCAUGAUCUCAAAAAUUCAUCAAGGACCAAAUGAAUACGGGAUCGAGAUCAUUUGGAAGACUUGUGAUCAUAGGAAAUGAAUGUAAGAUGAUAGCAUGAGUGCACUUAGGAUGUUCAUACCUUUUCAUGCAUCUUAGAAAACUCGGUUUAUUCUUUAAAACUUGAUUUUCUUUAAAACCCGAGUUUUAUCAAAUAUACCUUAGGCAAAUUGAUUCAAAAUUGACAUACAAACUCACCUAAAGACCUUGCCUAAGUAUUGGAAAAGAAAGAAAUAAAAAAGGAUAGGUUUUCAGGGCCAAAAGGCUCAUCCGGUCGAGGCUAUGGCCAACCGGCUCAACCGGUUGGGGAACCGAUCGACCGGUUUCCCUUGUCCGGUCGAGGUCCGGUCGAGGGAGGCACAAAAACCUUCUCUCUCUCCCAAUAGCUUUCUCUUCCCGGUCGAGCCUCACCCUUGUCCGGUCGAGGCAACGGUAACCUGUCAUGCAUUAAAUGCUCCAACGGCUAGUGAUCCGGUCGACCCUUUGCUCGUCCGGUCGAGGCUACUUUCUGCUGUUUUUGUCUCCCGAGCUUAGA